GACAGAGGGUGCAAACGUUGCUCGGAAUUACUGGGCGUAAAGCGCGUGUAGGCGGCUUGGCAAGUCGGGUGUGAAAGCCCUGGGCUCAACCCAGGAAGUGCACUCGAAACUGCUUCGCUCGAGUAUCGGAGAGGAAAGCGGAAUUCUCGGUGUAGAGGUGAAAUUCGUAGAUAUCGAGAGGAACACCGGUGGCGAAAGGCGGCUUUCUGGGACGAUUACUGACGCUGAGACGCGAAAAGCGUGGGGGAGCAAAACAGG
rnacentral:rRNA from 1 species